rnacentral:rRNA from 1 species
AGGUCUUGACAUCGUAUGCAUAACUUAGAGAUAAGUGAAAUCCCUUUUGGGACAUAUAGACAGGUGGUGCAUGGUUGUCGUCAGCUCGUGUCGUGAGAUGUUGGGUUAAGUCCCGCAACGAGCGCAACCCUUACCUUUAGUUGCUACGCAAGAGCACUCUAAAGGGACUGCCGUUGACAAAACGGAGGAAGGUGGGGAUGACGUCAAAUCAUCAUGCCCCUUAUGACCUGGGCUACACACGUACUACAAUGGCAAUCAACAAAGAGCAGCGAAACAGUGAUGUAGAGCGAAUCUCCAAAAAUUGUCCCAGUUCGGAUUGCAGGCUGCAACUCGCCUGCAUGAAGUCGGAAUUGCUAGUAAUCGUGGAUCAGCAUGCCACGGUGAAUACGUUCCCGGGCC